UGCACACAUGAUGAGUGACAGGGACUUAAUACUGGAACCUGAUGUUACAUUGCAAGAAAAAGAAAAAGCCUUCCUGGGUGGUGC
rfam:Otolemur garnettii contig042037, whole genome shotgun sequence.